UACGUAGGUGACAAGCGUUGUCCGGAUUUACUGGGCGUAAAGAGCGCGCAGGCGGUCGUUCAAGUCGAGUGUGAAAGCCCCCGGCUCAACUGGGGAGGGUCACUCGAUACUGAUCGACUCGAAGGCAGGAGAGGGAAGUGGAAUUCCCGGUGUAGUGGUGAAAUGCGUAGAUAUCGGGAGGAACACCAGUGGCGAAGGCGACUUCCUGGCCUGUUCUUGACGCUGAGGCGCGAAAGCCAGGGUAGCAAACGGG
rnacentral:rRNA from 1 species